rnacentral:lncRNA from 1 species
UAUAAUGGCUUGGAAUUGUAUGUUAAGGCUUGAGCAAUAUAUGACUUUAUCAAGAAUUCCCUUAUGUAAUAGUUGAAAUCAGAAUUGCAAUAAGUUGUUGAGAAUUUUAGUGUUAUUUUCUAUGAUAUAGAUGGCGAGUACAUUGAUGCAGGGUGGCUCAAUGCCUUUAAAAACGAGGCAAUACGCCUUAUGCCCUCAAAUUCGAAGGCUCAAUUUUAGUAAUAAUAAAAUUAUUAUCAACUUGGUACGAUCCGGUUUCUCGAGUUAUGAUGACACCUACUAUAACCAAUCAGUAGGUAAGUCACCUACUAGAACCAACCAGUAGGUAAGUCAAUCCGUACCCAGGACGACAAGUAAUGAGUACAAGGGUAGGAUUAAACAACGUAUAACACCAACAAUAAGAAAAGACAGAAACAGAAGCAAACCAAAAACUAUAUGCAAUGGAAACCCUCCUAGAACGUAGAAAUCACGAGUACAUAGUUGUCUAAUAUGAACAAAUACAAGUGUGGAACUUGGAAUCAAUAAACUAAUUAAACUGAAAUCGAGAUAAUCCUGUUUCGUGAAACAUAAACUCCAAGAAAAGCGGUGUUGGUCGUUUGAAAAUAAUAUGUAUCAUUUAAUAGGUUAUCACCAACGGACACACAAAGUUCGAGCUCAAACAGAGUCGGUCAUACAUAUACUGGAUCCUGAAAUCCUGCUUUGUGACACAAACACUAAAAAGAGUGAUUUCCACCCUGUACAAAAACAAUGAGUAUCAUUUGAUAAGACCCUAAGCUCAGGGGAAUUGGAAACUAUUGUAUCUUUUCUAAAACGACACUAUCCGUUGAUUUCCACGACAAUGUUUGCUUAUUGUCACCAGGGGACCCACAAAGUUUGAGCUCAAACAUAAUUGGACACACAUUUCGAAAAAUUUAUAGAUACACAUGAAAAAGCGAGAAACUCAUGAAUUCCUGUUUCGUGACACAACUCCAAAAAUAAUUCCUAUUUCGUGACACAACUCCAAAAACAUGACUUCCGCCUUUAGAAAAUAAUGAUCAUCAUUUAAUAAGUCAACACCUAUGGACCCACAAAAUUUGAGUUCAAACAGAGUCGGUUGCUGAUCUUUGACGUAUUAUACACUCAAGUGCCGUAUUUUACACAUGUUUUAGCUUAAGUUUCGAGAAUCAACUCAGGUAUAUUCACGUGUUUUGAGCAUUAUUGAUAUGGAUAAGCUAAUAUAUGUGAUUAGACUUUAUGCGGUGAAAGAGUUAGGUAAUUGAAAAUACAAUUUCAAAAAGAAAAAAAAACUUGUUUUAUAUGUUAAUUACAGUAAUAUAAAUUAAUCAUAAUAUAAAAAGUUAAUUAGGAGGAAAUUAAUUAGUGAUCACGAUUCACGAGUGAGAUUCCUGUAUUUAUCCCAACAUAUAAGUCAAUUAUUUAGUCAACAAUUUAUUGUUGUGACCUUGACUUAAAAUCUUAUCAAUUAAUUUAGAAUGAUGAAAUUGUUGUUAUUUAGUCAAUAAUUAAUUAUCUAGUUAUAUGAAGUUUUAGUUUGUUUGUCAUAAUUCAAAGAGGUUUUUAGAGCAUGAAGUGCACAAAUCAACUUAUAAAAAUGAACAAAUAUAUUAAGCUAAGCAUGAAAACUGAUGCCAUGCUGAAAGAAUUAACGCGGGAAUGAAGUCAAUAAUAAAUAUCCAUAUUCGACCAAUUAGUCGAUAGGGAGUGUAGAGGUUACAUGGAAUAACGAUAGAGAAUAUUGCGCGUUGAACUGCGAAUAUGAUUUGCAUGGCGAAAAAGAGAAAAUUUUAAGUUGUAAGUAUUCUAAUUAACUACUCCCUAAUUACUUGUUCACUUUUUCAUUUUUAGUUGUCUCUAAUUACUCGUCUAUUUUGACAAAUCAAAUCAAGAAAAGAUAAUUUUUUUUUUUAUCUAUUAUAUCCUCAAUUAAAUGAUUAAUUAUUAUAUUAAAAUAAAUUUGCUCUGGUAUUGACUAAUGUCUUCUUCUCAGGUGUAGAAACUUUUGACAUUGAUCUGAAGGAGCAAAAGGUGACCGUGAAGGGCAAUGUUCAACCAGACGCUGUGUCGAAGACUGGAAAGCCAACAUCUUUCUGGGAAGCAGGCGAAUCGGCUCAAACAGAAGCUGUUAGUACAGCUUGAUUGGUGUAUAAUGGCUUGGAAUUGUGUGUUAAGGCUUGAGCAAUAGUUGACUUUAUCAAGAAUUCCCCUAUGUAAUAGUUGAAAUCAGAAUUGCAAUAAGUUGUUGAGAAUUUUAGUGUUAUUUUCUAUGAUAUAGAUGGCGAGUACAUUGAUGUAGGGCGGCUCAAUGCCUUUAAAAACGAGGCAUACGCCUUAUGCCCUCAAAUUUGAAGGCUCAAUUU